UACAGAGGUCCCAAGCGUUUGUUCGGAUUCACUGGGCGUAAAGGGUGCGUAGGCGGUCGGGUAAGUCUGACGUGAAAUCUCCAAGCUCAACUUGGAAAUGGCGUCGGAUACUAUUCGGCUGGAGGAAUGGAGGGGAGACUGGAAUUCUCGGUGUAGCAGUGAAAUGCGUAGAUAUCGAGAGGAACACCAGUGGCGAAGGCGAGUCUCUGGACAUUUCCUGACGCUGAGGCACGAAAGCCAGGGGAGCAAACGGG
rnacentral:rRNA from 1 species